UCCCAUUGCACAAGAUGAAUGGCAGUAGCACAAGAGGACAAAUGGACACGUGAUACCUCUUGAGUCAUCCAUCCUGAACACUCCCAAGAAAAUAAGGAAGAUAUUCUGAUUUAAACCACAUCGUUAAACUAGAAGUUCAAUUAAUGAAUUGUAAAGACAGCUGCCAUGCUGUGAAAACACUCAAGCAGUCUCACAGAGUGUUCAAAUGGCAAGGUACUGAGGUGCCCUGGCAACGGCAAGGAACUGAGGCCUUCAUCCAAAGCCAUUAAGUGAGCCAUACUGGAAGCAGGUGCUCCGGUCCCUGGUGGUCUUGAGAUGACAGCAGCUUCAGUGUCUUGACUGCAACCUCAAGAAAGACCUUGAGCCAAAGCCAUCCAGAACAACAGAUGACACGAGAUGUCCCUGCUGGGGAGAAAAACUUGAUGAUCCCAUUGGCAAACCAGCUCCUGAGAUUUGUAUCAAGGCCUCUGCAUCUCACAGCUACCUUGUGUCUCCUCUAUUGAAAAGCUGCUGGGACUUUCAGAGACAUUCUACUAAUGGCAAGUUCUGAGAAGGAAAACAAAAAGAUGCCUUAGUUCCAUGGAAGGCUGCUCUGAGGGAUAUUCUGCUAAGUGGCAUCCAGACAGAACACGGAGAAGCUCCUCGAUUGCGUCUCUCCCCUGCCUUAUUGUUUCCUGCUGCCCUUGACACUCCACUGUUUGGGCUAUUGCAAGGUUAGAAGGAUGCUCACGACCAACGAGACAGAGUCCUUUGCAUAUGGCCUUGAGGAUGUGUGCUUCUGAAAUCUAACAAGUAAGUAAUAAACAGGCAGUUCUCAGAGCAAGAGGCUAAGACUGCUGCUUCACUCGGAGGAAACAAAGCUUUUCAGGGGUGGGUUACAGGUUUCCACGUCGUGAGGCAAGCAUCACCUUUUAUCAAGAAAAUAUCCUGGUUAUUUCCUUCUAUGUUCAAUAGAGUAUAUUGAUUUAAGGUUUUAUAGGACUGCAUAAUUAUGUUUUAUCACAAAGAAAAAAUUGAAGUCAUAAUAAAAUAGUUAAAAUACA
rnacentral:lncRNA from 1 species